UUCGCAAUGCCCGAAAGGGUGACAAUGCGACGCCGCGUGCGCGAUGAAGGUUUUCGGAUUGUAAAGCCCUGUCGCCUGGGAAGAAUGGCAGGGAGGUGAAUAGCCAUCUCGCUUGACGCUACCAGGGAAGGGAGCACCGGCUAAAUACGUGCCAGCAGCCGCGGUAAUACGUAUGGUGCGAACGUUGUUCGGAAUCACUGGGCAUAAAGAGCACGUAGGCGGUUGAGCAAGUCCAUUGUGAAAUCCCCCGGCUUAACCGGGGAACUGCAGUGGAUACUACUUGACUUGAGUGCAGGAGGGGAGAGUGGAAUUCCAGGUGGAGCGGUGAAAUGCGUAGAUAUCUGGAGGAACGCCGGUGGCGAAAGCGACUCUCUGGUCUGUAACUGACGCUGAGUGUGCGAAAGCUAGGGGAGCAAACGGGAUUAGAUACCCCGGUAGUCCUAGCCCUAAACGAUGGGCACUAAGUAGAGGGGUUUU
rnacentral:rRNA from 1 species